AAUGAACGUUGGCGGCGUGGAUUAGGCAUGCAAGUCGAGCGAGAAUCGUAGCAAUACGAGGACAGCGGCGAAAGGGAGAGGAACACGUGGAUACCUACCUACAGGUUCAGGAUAGCUAUGGGAAACUAUAGGUAAUACUGAAUAAUAUCUCCGGAUGAAAGGAGUGAUUCGACCUGAGGAGGGGUCGGCGUCCUAUUAGCAAGUUGGUGGGGUAACGGCUCACCAAGGCGAAGAUGGGUACGGGAUGUGAGAGCAUGAUCCCGCUCAUUGGUACUGAGACACUGCCCAGACACCUACGGGGGGCUGCAGUCGAGAAUCUUCGGCAAUGGGGGAAGCCCUGACCGGGCGACGCCGCGUGCGAGAUGAAGGCCUUCGGGUUGUAAAUCGCUGUCAGUGGGGAGGAAAUGCUGGUGGGUUCUCCCAUCAGUUUGACCUAUCCGCAGAGGAAGGACGGGCUAAGUUCGUGCCAGCAGCCGCAGUAA
rnacentral:rRNA from 1 species